rnacentral:rRNA from 1 species
CUUGUAUGAAAGAUUGGAUGAAAUAUAAUCUGUCUCUUAAUUAAAAUUAGAAUUUAAUUUUUUAAUUAAAAAGUUAAAAUAAAUUAAAAAGACGAGAAGACCCUAUAGAGUUUUAUAAAUAAUUUAAUUAAGGUUAUUUAUAAAUUUAAUAUUAAAAUUAUUUUAUUUAUUUUGUUGGGGUGAUAGAAAAAUAUAUUUAACUUUUUUUAAAUUAUUACAUAUAUAAAUGGUUGUAUGAUCCAAUAUUAUUGAUUAUAAGAAAAAAUUACCUUAGGGAUAACAGCGUAAUUUUUUUUUUUAGUUCAUAUAAGA